UAGGGAAUCUUCCGCAAUGGGCGAAAGCCUGACGGAGCAACGCCGCGUGAGUGAUGAAGGUCUUCGGAUCGUAAAACUCUGUUAUUAGGGAAGAACAAAUGUGUAAGUAACUAUGCACGUCUUGACGGUACCUAAUCAGAAAGCCACGGCUAACUACGUGCCAGCAGCCGCGGUAAUACGUAUGGACCGAGCGUUAUCCGGAAUCAUUGGGCGUAAAGGGUACGUAGGCGGUUAAAUAAGUUAGAAGUGAAAUCCCAUAGCUCAACUAUAGUAAGCUUCUAAAACUGUAUAACUUGAGAAAUGAAAGGGAAAGUGGAAUUCCUAGUGUAGCGGUGAAAUGCGCAGAUAUUAGGAGGAAUACCGGUGGCGAAGGCGACUUUCUGGUCAUAUUCUGACGCUGAGGUACGAAAGCGUGGGUAGCAAACAGG
rnacentral:rRNA from 1 species